GACGAACGCUGGCGGCGUGCUUAACACAUGCAAGUCGAACGGCAAGGCCCUGCUUUUGUGGGGUGCUCGAGUGGCGAACGGGUGAGUAACACGUGAGUAACCUGCCCUUGACUUUGGGAUAACUUCAGGAAACUGGGGCUAAUCCCGGAUCGGAGCUCCUGCUGCAUGGUGGGGGUUGGAAAGUUUCGGCGGUUGGGGAUGGACUCGCGGCUUAUCAGCUUGUUGGUGGGGUAGUGGCUUACCAAGGCCUUGACGGGUAGCCGGCCUGAGUGUGUGACCGGGGACAAUGCGACUGCGGGACGGAGCAGAGUCGAACGGUAGGCAGUGGGGGAGAGCAUGACACAGUAAGCGCGCGCGUGUGGCGACAGCGUUCGGGUUGUAAAGACGUUUUGUUGGGAAAGAAACGCUUUCGCCUAAUACGAAGCGGGGGUGACGGUAAUGGGAGAAUAAGCACCGGCUAACUACGUG
rnacentral:rRNA from 1 species